rnacentral:tRNA from 1 species
CCCAGCAUGGCGUAGUGGUUUGAGCAUUGGACUGUGACUCUGGAGACCAGAGUUCGAAUCCCUGCUCAGUCA